AUGGUGGUCCUGGGGAUGCAGAGAGAGGAGGGGCACCAGGCACAGCAGAGAGGGCUGGGACCCCCUCUAGGUGGCACACAGGUCAUGUGUAAAGUUGUAGGUCUGCCAAGUGGUGCUGGAUUCAACACAUCUUCUCACCUUCUCUUUCCAGCCACCCUCCAAGGUGCCCUGACUCACCUUCCCUGCAGAUGGAGGCAAGGAGACUCCACAGACAAACCCCCUGCCUGA
rnacentral:lncRNA from 1 species